GGCUUGAUAACUCAGUUGGUAAGAGCAUUGCACCGGCAUCGCAAGGUCGUGGAUUCGAAUCCCGUUUAAACACG
rnacentral:tRNA from 1 species